GUCGGGAUAGCUCAGCUGGUAGAGCAGAGGACUGAAAAUCCUCGUGUCCC
rnacentral:tRNA from 1 species